CCAAACUCCAUCUCAUAAAAAAAAGGGACAGGCAUGGGGCAUGCCAGGCAGGCAAUUUUAGACUGUACUUGUGUAGAUCUUUACUUGACGUUGCAGAAAUGUCAACUGUUUAUAUAUGUAUUUUUAAUGGUAGUGUAUGUGAUACAGAAGUGCUGGGUAGAGAAGAGCAUGGUCCCUUUAAAUAAUUCGGAAGUGGGGAAGGGAUGUGCCGGGUAAAGGAGGGCGUGGUCCUUAGCUAGGGCUCCGCCCCCACGGACCUAGGUGAGGACAGGCAUCUCUGCCCAAAUGUUGCAUUUCCCGCCCAAAUGUUGCAUUUCCCAAAACCACCCUGGCCUGCCAUGGCCGCAUCCUGGGCCUAUAAAAACCCAAGAUGCUAGCAAGGCAGUGACAGAGGCCGCCAGACGUUGAGAGGACAAGUCAGCAGAAGACGCCACAGCCGCUGGCGGUGGAGAGGAGGUCGAGAGGCUCACGCGCGCAGAAGAAAAUACCGGCACACGGACAGGCCAUUGACCGGCAGGACCAGGCGGAGUUUGGCCCGGGCAGUGGGAGGAGAGCCAGGGGAAGAUCAUCUUCCUUCUGGCUCCCCAUCGUGGGAGAGUUAACACUUGACACUCGUUCUCCAAGCCCAGGUGUGCUGCGAUUCUUCAGGUACACCAAGGCAAGAACCCGGGAUACAGAAAUCCCUCUCUCCUUGCGAUAAGGAAGGGGGCCUAUUGAGCUGGUUAACAUGAGCCGCCUAUAGACACCUUGUAACAGACGCCCCCUGGGUCUUCAGGAGCCGUAAACAUCCACCGCAGACACCGCCGUGGGGUCGGAGCCGCACAAAGCUCCCCUGGAGGUUUGAGCAGCGGGAAGCGAGCCAGAGCCACACCCCAACUGCACACCCUGCGGGGGCCUUUCAGAUGGGAAGAGAGUGAAGUCCAUUUUCUCCUCCUUUGAGUCUGGGCUUGACUGACUAACACGGCUUUUGCUAAUGGGAAAUUAACAAACAUGAUAAAGAGGCUUAAGAAGAACUGACGUUGGGGUUUUGCUUCCUGCUGCUCCUGGGACCCUGCUGUCAUGUGAACACAUCGGAUUAUCUUGUCGGAGAAUGAGACCAGGGGAAGAGAACCAACCUACCCUGGCCGAUAGAAAGCCACUCCCAGGGCCGGACACGGUGGCUCACGCCUGUAAUCCCAGCACUUUGAGAGGCCAAGGUUGGUGGAUCACUUGAGGCCAGGAGUUCGAGACCAGCCUGGCCAACAUGAUGAAAGCCCGUGUCUACUAAAAACACAAAAAUUAGCUGGGCGUGGCGGGCGCCUGUGAUCUCAGCUACUCCGGAGGCUGAGGCAGGAGAAGUGCAUGAACCCGGGAGGUGGAGUUUGCAGUCAGCCAAGAUUAUGUGCUCCCCAGCCUGGGCAACAGAAUGAGACUGCGUCUCAAAAAAAAAAAAAAAAAAGCAAAGAAAAAAAAGAAAGCCACUCCCAGAGGGUAAGUGGGGCCAUCUGGAUAUACUAGCCCUCACCAGUCCACUGACUGAUCACCAGAAUUUGCAAAUGAAGACAAAUGCAUGAGUGAGCCUCACCAAAAAUAGCAAGCAAAGUGUCCUGCCUCGCUCCAGUGAUGAUCUAUAGAAUCAUGAGUUGACAAUUGUUGUGUUAGGACACUAAGGUUUGGAAUGGUUCAUGACACAGCAGUAGAUUACCAAUACCAGUCAAAUGGUGAUGAGAACAGAGUAACUGUUGCAAGUUUCAGAAGAGAGCGCAGCUCUCGUGCUGGGGCAUUGCUUCAACCCGCACUUGGAGGAAUGAGCAUCACUUCCUGAAUCACCAGCCUUUUCUACAGAGCCUCGAUUUUCUCUAGGGUCUUCCCAUCCACACACCGGCAAUGCUGACAAUACUCAGAGCUUAUGAAACCUGACAGAUCACAGUUUGAGGUGAAAAAACUUUAGGAAUGAAAACUAUCAAGAGGAAUUGGAAAUGAAAGGUGAAUGCCAUUAUAUUUAUUCAAUUUAUAGCUAAAUUAUAAUGGAAAAAAUCUCGAAAUAGAAACAUUUUUUAAAUCUGAAGACUGUAAUUAUAACAAUGAGCAUUGUCAUAAUGUUGACCUGUGUCACAUUACAAAUAUUCUUUAUCAAUAAGACAUUAAAUGUAAUAAGUUAAUGAAGAAGUUAUGACUUUUGCCA
rnacentral:lncRNA from 10 species